UGAAAUUUUGUAACAUAGGGUUUAAGCUUGAGAGAAAGAAAAAGUGGGAAAGAAAAGACCAAAGUGACUGUAGAACAGCAAAGAGGGUGAUGAGAUGGAGGGAAAGAGAUUUUUUGUGGCGGUUCACGUCGGCGCCGGUUUCCACUCUCCGUCUAACGACAAGGCCCUGAGGUCCGUCAUGAACCGCGCUUGUCAAGCAGCCGCUUCCGUUCUGUCCAGCGGCUCGGGAACUGGCCUAGAUGCCGUAGUAGCCGCCAUUCAAGUGUUGGAGGAUGAUCCCUGCACGAACGCUGGCAGAGGCUCUAACUUGACCGAGGACGGUGGCGUGGAAUGCGACGCCAGUGUUAUGGACGGAAAAUCUGGAGCUUUUGGGGCUGUUGGAGCUGUGCCAGGUGUCCGCAAUGCUAUACAAAUUGCUGCUUUAUUGGCCAAAGAACAACUAAUGAGAUCUCCUUUGCUUGGUCGGAUUCCUCCAAUCUUCUUGGUUGGCGAAGGGGCUCGCAAAUGGGCCAAGUCUAAAGACAUCGCUUUGCCAACAAGUAUAGAGGAGGCCAAUGAGUGGCUGGUCACAGAAAGGGCUAAAGCACAAUGGAUAAAAUACAAAUCCAUGGUUGAAACUGCUAGAUCUAAGGCAGACAACACUCCUGAGGUUGAUUCUUCUGUCUGUCAAAGUACCACAAUACCAGAUAAUGCUUUAGAAGGUCGCGUAAUGGACACCGUUGGGGUUAUUUGUAUAGAUAACGAGGGGCAUGUUGCAACUGGAGCCUCCAGUGGUGGUAUUGCUCUAAAGGUCAGUGGACGUGUUGGGUUGGCAGCAAUGUAUGGUGCAGGUUGUUGGGCAUCAUCAAAAGGGCCCUUUGGAUCUCCGUUCAUGGCUGGUUGUUGUGUAUCUGGGGCAGGAGAGUACUUAAUGAAAGGAUUUGCAGCUAGGGAAUGCUGUGUUUCAUUGUCACUGUAUGGUUGGCUCUCGGUCAUCUGUUUGUAUUUCCAUGAUAGGGGAGAAUUUUUAUCUCACAGUCUGGCGCUGCUUCUGCUUGCACAAAAAUCUUACGCUCUGUUGUUGAGGAUGGCAGGCAAUGUGUUACUGAUAGCAGUGCAGGGAUCUUGAUUGUGCAAUCAGAUGCAUCUUUAACAGAUCAAGGAAAAUCAUCAAGACUGAAAGCUGUAGAGAUUGCUGCUGCAUACACUUCCUUGUCCUUUGGAGUAGGAUAUUUUGGAAGCUCUAUGGAACGUCCCAAGGUUUCCAUUCUUAGAAGUACAAAACAACAAAGCAGGAUGUCAAUAGAUCAAUUUGGAGCACGGAUAGAUCUUUCAAAUGGAUAGUUACUGUGACCACGAGGUCAAAUUUUUUCCGUGCUGAUGAGGUGAAGUUGGUGACACCAACAAAAUUACUUGAUUUUCUAUAUACAGUUUAUCGAUAAUCAUUUUAGUUCAGGCCAUUUUGUUUAUGAAAGAUAUAAGAUUUCAUUGUGGAUUGUUAAGUAAUGGUCAAUGGUUCUAUGGAUUGAGUCAUACAGAACUUAAUUAGUUUUCAUGUGAAAUUAAUUUAUCUGUCUUCAACA